rnacentral:rRNA from 1 species
UACGGGGGGGGCAAGCGUUGUCCGGAAUUACUGGGCGUAAAGGGCUCGUAGGCGGUCAACUAAGUCAGACGUGAAAUCCCUCGGCUUAACCGGGGAACUGCGUCUGAUACUGGAUGGCUUGAGUUUGGGAGAGGGAUGCGGAAUUCCAGGUGUAGCGGUGAAAUGCGUAGAUAUCUGGAGGAACACCGGUGGCGAAGGCGGCAUCCUGGACCAACACUGACGCUGAUGAACGAAAGCGUGGGGAGCAAACAGG